rnacentral:rRNA from 1 species
UACAGAGGGGGCAAGCGUUAUUCGGAAUUAUUGGGCGUAAAGGGCGCGUAGGCGGUAUGGCAAGUGGAAGGUGAAAUCCCUCGGCUUAACCGAGGAACUGCCCUCCAAACUGCUUUACUUGAGGCCGGUAGAGGUGGGUGGAACUCCUGGUGGAGUGGUGAAAUGCGUAGAGAUCAGGAAGAACACCCGUGGCGAAGGCGGCCCACUGGGCCGGUACUGACGCUGAGGCGCGAAGGCGUGGGGAGCGAACGGG